UAGGGAAUCUUCGGCAAUGGGGGGAACCCUGACCGAGCAACGCCGCGUGAGUGAAGAAGGUUUUCGGAUCGUAAAGCUCUGUUGUUAAGGAAGAACGAGUGUGAGAAUGGAAAGUUCAUGCUGUGACGGUACUUAACCAGAAAGGGACGGCUAACUACGUGCCAGCAGCCGCGGUAAUACGUAGGUCCCGAGCGUUGUCCGGAUUUAUUGGGCGUAAAGCGAGCGCAGGCGGUCAAUUAAGUCUGAUGUGAAAGCCCCCGGCUCAACCGGGGAGGGUCAUUGGAAACUGGUUGACUUGAGUGCAGAAGAGGGGAGUGGAAUUCCAUGUGUAGCGGUGAAAUGCGUAGAUAUAUGGAGGAACACCAGUGGCGAAGGCGACUCUCUGGUCUGUAACUGACGCUGAGGUUCGAAAGCGUGGGUAGCAAACAGG
rnacentral:rRNA from 1 species